rnacentral:rRNA from 1 species
CGGAACACGUGUGCAACCUGCCUUUAUCUGGGGGAUAGCCUUUCGAAAGGAAGAUUAAUACUCCAUAAUAUAUUGAACGGCAUCGUUUAAUAUUGAAAGCUCCGGCGGAUAGAGAUGGGCACGCGCAAGAUUAGCUAGUUGGUGAGGUAACGGCUCACCAAGGCAAUGAUCUUUAUGGGGCCUGAGAGGGUGAUCCCCCACACUGGUACUGAGACACGGACCAGACUCCUACGGGAGGCAGCAGUGAGGAAUAUUGGUCAAUGGGUGCAAGCCUGAACCAGCCAUCCCGCGUGAAGGACGACUGCCCUAUGGGUUGUAAACUUCUUUUGUAUAGGGAUAAACCUUCCCACGUGUGGGAAGCUGAAGGUACUAUACGAAUAAUCACCGGCUAACUCCGUGCCAGCAGCCGCGGUAAUACGGAGGGUGCAAGCGUUAUCCGGAUUUAUUGGGUUUAAAGGGUCCGUCGCGGACUUAUAAGUCAGUGGUGAAAGCCUGUCGCUUAACGAUAGAACUGCCAUUGAUACUGUAAGUCUUGAGUAUAAUUGAGGUAGCUGGAAUAAGUAGUGUAGCGGUGAAAUGCAUAGAUAUUACUUAGAACACCAAUUGCGAACGCAGGUUACCAAGUUACACCUGACGCUGACUGACGACAGCGUGCGAGCGAACAGGAUUAGAUACCCUGCUAGUCCACGCCGUACACGAUGCUAACUCAUUUUUUG